AGAGGCCACCCCAGGGCCAGGGAAGGAGGCCAGCCCCUUCUCCACGACCAGCUGGUCCAUGCGCCCGGUGACGUGCCCCAGGCCAGGAUGACAGAUGGCCCCCGAAGGAAAGGUGGAAGCAUCUCCCGCCCCCUGGCUGUCACCUCUCCGGGGGGUUGUCACCCGCCUCUUCCCCCAGCCACCACCACGACCACCUGAGGCGAGAGGGUGAGGAUGGAGCCCUCUGGCUCCCAGGCCAUCGGCCCGGCGAGGAGCUGCUCUCGUCUCGCCUGCCCAGCCUGAAGUUUGAACUCCUGCACCCCCCGCCUCUGCCCUCCCCCCACCCAACACCCUCACCCUGAGAGGGUCGCACGAUUCUGAGACCCGGCACGUGCCCUUGAUGGAGCCGGAGACUCUUACGGUGGGGCCAGAGUUGUCUUUCCUGAAAAUAGCCCUAGAGGUUUAGGGCGGGAUCUCCAGCGGGACCCCUCAUCCCAGACCUCCCUCUCUUGGCUUGCUUCUGGCCUGAGCCACACCUUACGGGGACCAGCUCCAUCUUCGGGGACAAGACAAGAGGCCCUCUCUAUGGCGAAGCGGGCCUGAGGGGUCCUCCAAGCAAUGGCCAUUGUCCCAGGCUCGGUGCCGCAAAUAGGGCUGUGCCAGGUCCCAUGGACAGACACAGCCUCAUGGGUCGUCAGGCUACGAAGUGUGUGCCAGGGGAGGCCACCAGUGUUGGGCAGAGCCCAGGGAGCAUCACCAGGAAGGGAGUCUGCAGAAGAGCAGGAGGAGGUCCUGAGGACGGUCACCGGGCUGUCUCCUCCCACUGUCCCGUUCUCCCGUCCAGCCUGGAUGCAUAGACGGUGCUGGGAAGAAAUGCACGACCCUAACGCGCAGAAAUGUGGCCGCAGCCCCUGGGGGGAAUGAGAACCUGCUUGCUUUGGUCCCCGCCAGCAGGAAGGCCCGGGCCGUCUGUGGGCAAGGAGGGUGGGGAGGAGGCCUCCGAGAAGCUGCCUGCUCCACCAUCGGACCCAGAGCCAUCUCCCCAGGCAGCAAGUGUAUCUGGUUGGCAGCCAACUGAUGUGGAGAACCCGGUCCCCCCGGGUUGUGUUCCCAGGAGGGGGCUCUGCGGCACGGAGUUCCUGGGCCAGGGGCUUCCCGGAGCAGAUGGUCCGCCCAUGGGCUCAUUGUUCUAAAGUAUUUCUUUAGUAUUAUUAAAAAGAUGGUGUCGUGUCAAGAAAGAAGAAAGUGGAAAAAAAAAAAAUUGGGCACUCACCCAUUGCCCGAGCAAGUACCAUUUUCCUGCCUGCGAAUGGUCCUGGGACUCAGCUCAGCACACACAAAAUUUGUACAUGCCC